GAAACAACCUGUACGGUGAGGCUCCUAUACAAACACAGGCCACUGCCCAAAAACGUCCAAAGACGCCAAUGGGUAGAACAGGGAUUGUCGGAUUAAGGCUUUCCAUAAUGUGGCUAAGAAACCAGUUUUCUUUACGUUGUAUAGUGCCGAAACUUGAGCGAGGGGAUACUGU
rnacentral:sRNA from 2 species